rnacentral:rRNA from 1 species
UACGAAGGGGACUAGCGUUGUUCGGAAUCACUGGGCGUAAAGCGCACGUAGGCGGCUUGUCGCGUCAACUGUGAAAACCCGUGGCUCAACCAUGUGGUCUGCAGUCGAUACGGGCAGGCUAGAAUUCGGUAGGGGAGACUGGAAUUCCUGGUGUAGCGGUGAAAUGCGCAGAUAUCAGGAGGAACACCGGUGGCGAAGGCGGGUCUCUGGGCCGAUAUUGACGCUGAGGAGCGAAAGCGUGGGGAGCGAACAGG